AUGAACGCUAGCGGGAGGCCUCACACAUGCAAGCCGAGCGGUAGAGUCUCUUCGGAGACUUGAGAGCGGCGCACGGGUGCGGAACACGUGUGCAACCUGCCUUUAUCUGGGGGAUAGCCUUUCGAAAGGAAGAUUAAUACCCCAUAAUAUACUGGAUGGCAUCAUCUGGUAUUGAAAACUCCGGUGGAUAGAGAUGGGCACGCGCAAGUUUAGAUAGUUGGUGAGGUAACGGCUCACCAAGUCAGCGAUCUUUAGGGGGCCUGAGAGGGUGAUCCCCCACACUGGUACUGAGACACGGACCAGACUCCUACGGGAGGCAGCAGUGAGGAAUAUUGGACAAUGGGUGAGAGCCUGAUCCAGCCAUCCCGCGUGAAGGACGACGGCCCUAUGGGUUGUAAACUUCUUUUGGAUAGGGAUAAACCUAGAUACGUGUAUCUAGCUGAAGGUACUAUACGAAUAAGCACCGGCUAACUCAGUG
rnacentral:rRNA from 1 species